GGAUAGCUCAGUUGGUUAGAGUGUGGUGCUGAUAACAGCAAGGUUGUAGGUUUGAUCACCACAUGAGACA